CCUACGGGGGGCUGCAGUGGGGAAUAUUGGACAAUGGGGGGAACCCUGAUCCAGCCAUGCCGCGUGUGUGAAGAAGGCCCUCGGGUUGUAAAGCACUUUCAGUGAGGAAGAACGCCUGGUGGUUAAUACCCAUCAGGAAAGACAUCACUCACAGAAGAAGCACCGGCUAACUCCGUGCCAGCAGCCGCGGUAAUACGGAGGGUGCGAGCGUUAAUCGGAAUUACUGGGCGUAAAGCGCGCGUAGGUGGCUUGAUAAGCCGGUUGUGAAAGCCCCGGGCUCAACCUGGGAACGGCAUCCGGAACUGUCAAGCUAGAGUGCAGGAGAGGAAGGUGGAAUCCCCGGUGUAGCGGUGAAAUGCGUAGAGAUCGGGAGGAAUACCAGUGGCGAAGGCGGCCUUCUGGACUGACACUGACACUGAGGUGCGAAAGCGUGGGUAGCAAACAGGAUUAGAUACCCUAGUAGUC
rnacentral:rRNA from 1 species